UAAUUUUUAUUCUGUUGACCGUGAUAUUCGUUUCAACCACUGCAUAUUCAUUCAUUAAAGAAAAACCAAACUUACAGAGUUGUUUAAGGGAAAAAGAUGUAAACAUGAGUAGUCCCUCCUUGGAGACUAAAGGAAGAGACAACAGUGAAGAAACGGACCAAGACGGGAAUAAACUGUAUGACACUGCCUGGCGUUAAUAUGAUAUAGGACCAACUUUUUAUUACUAGUAAUGCAUAUCCAUAUGGAUAAAAACAGUCGUCGAUUCUUUGACCAAAUUACUGGGAGUAUAUUUUUCUGUGUAUAAUGUCCUCGGUGCCCAGAAAGAAGCAAAAGACGCUUUUCAAUGAUUUAGUCUUUAUAAUUUAACUAAGAUAUUCUCUUUGAAUUAAAACACAUGUCCGUAACAUUUUUAUCCAAUUUCUGAUUGUUUUUAGAACUCAUUUUUGAGUAUGGUCCUUCAUAUAUUGGAUUAUAGCAGAUCCUAUGAUUUCUUUAACUUGUUUCUUCUUUCUAAAAGGUGUUGUUUUUUUUAAAGUUUGGAAAAUGAAUCAAGUCAAAGGAUGAAAGAUCUGGCGAAUAUUAUUGUGUGACAAAAUAUUACCUUUCUGUUUGUCCCCAAAACUCCUUAACUCUUCAUGGCGUGUUGGUUUGGACGCUGUCGUGAAGAAAUUAAAUGUAGUGAAUUCCUCUUUCUGGUUCCUUUCUUUCAAAAACCUUUCGUUUUUUGUUGUUU